GAUGUGUUGGAAUCAUGAUUCAAUAAGAUGUACGGGGUCAACUUCUUAGUUAAACUUUGAGGCAUAAGCUUUUUCUGACCUACAAAUC